NNCACCUGGGGGGGCCCAAAAAAACCCAAAAUCCCCCUUGGGGCUCCAAAAAUCCCAAAUCUCACCUGGGGGACCCCAGAAAUCCCCAAAUCCCCCUGGGGGGACCCCAAAAAUUCCCAAAAUUUCCCUGGGGGGACCCCAAAAAAUCCCAAAAUCUCACCUGAGCCCCCCCAGGUGGGACCGGGACCCCAAAAAUUCCCAAAAUCCCCCUGGGGGGACCCCAAAAAAUCCCAAAUCUCACCUGAGCCCCCAGGUGGGACCAGGACCCCAAAAAUUCCCAAAAUCCCCCUGGGGGGACCCCAAAAAUUCCCAAAUCUCACCUGGGGGGACCCCAAAAAAUUCCAAAUCCCACCUGACCCCCCAGGUGGGACCGGGACCCCAAAAAUUCCCAAAAUCCCCCUGGGGGGACCCCAAAAAACCCAAAAUCUCACCUGGGGGGGCCCCAAAAAAUCCCAAAUCUCACCUGAGUCCCCCCAGGUGGGACCGGGACCCCAAAAAUUCCCAAAAUCCCCCUGGGGGGACCCCAAAAAUUCCAAAUCUCACCUGGGGGGACCCCAAAAAAUCCCAAAUCUCACCUGAGCCCCCCCAGGUGGGACCGGGACCCCAAAAAUUCUCAAAAUUUCCCUGGGGGGACCCCAAAAAUUCCAAAUCUCACCUGGGGGACCCCAAAAAUCCCAAAUCCCACCUGGGGGGACCCCAAAAAUCCCAAAUCUCACCUGUGGGGACCCCAAAAAAUUCCAAAUCCCACCUGACCCCCCAGGUGGGACCGGGACCCCAAAAAUUCCCAAAAUUUCCCUGGGGGGACCCCAAAAAUUCCCAAAAUCCCCCUGGGGGGACCCAAAAAAUCCCAAAAUCUCACCUGAGCCCCCCAGGUGGGACUGGGACCCCAAAAAAUCCCAAAAUCCCCCUGGGGGCCCCAAAAAAUCCCAAAUCUCACCUGAGCCCCCCCAGGUGGGACCGGGACCCCAAAAAUUCCCAAAAUCCCCCUGGGGGGACCCCAAAAAUCCCAAAUCUCACCUGGGGGGGGGUCCCCAAAUUUCCCCCCCUGGGGAUUUUGGGGUCCCCCCUCCCCAAUUUUGUCUUUGUCGAAUAAAACUCCAAAACUUCUCUGGCUUUGUCCUUAAUUUUGGGGUGUCCCCAUAAAUGUUGAGGUUCCCCCGAUCCCUUUCA
rnacentral:lncRNA from 1 species